GACGAACGCUGGCGGCGUGCUUAACACAUGCAAGUCGAACGGAAAGGCCCUGCUUUUGUGGGGUGCUCGAGUGGCGAACGGGUGAGUAACACGUGAGUAACCUGCCCUUGACUUUGGGAUAACUUCAGGAAACUGGGGCUAAUACCGGAUAGGAGCUCCUGCUGCAUGGUGGGGGUUGGAAAGUUUCGGCGGUUGGGGAUGGACUCGCGGCUUAUCAGCUUGUUGGUGGGGUAGUGGCUUACCAAGGCUUUGACGGGUAGCCGGCCUGAGAGGGUGGCCGGCCACAUUGGGACUGAGAUACGGACCAGAAUGCUACGGGAGGCAGUGGUGGGGAAUAUUGCACAAUGGGCGGAAGCCUGAUGCAGCAACGCCGCGUGCGGGAUGACGGGUUACGGGUUGUAAACCGCUUUCGCCUGUGACGAGGCGUGAGUGACGGUAAUGGGUAAAGAAGCACCGGCUAACUACGUG
rnacentral:rRNA from 1 species